rnacentral:tRNA from 1 species
GCCAGGCUGGCUCAGUCAGUAGAGUAUCUGACUCUCGAUCUCGGGUUCUGGGUUCAAGCCCUAGGUUGGGUA